CCCCAGUCAAAAAUUUCCCCGUACGCCUAUGUGGACGACUGCACCAACGAGUGUGGACGACUUCACCAGAUUUUUCGUGUGGACGACUUUGCUCGUGGACGACUUAACUGAUAUUCCUCUUGCCAUGCCUUCGAACCUGCACCUGCUUCUUUUUUUUCUUUUGAACAUACAAUUAUUUCGGUGGGUGCAUGGGUAUUUUGUUUAUACGACACAGUAUGAAAGUGCCAUUUAACGAAAACGAAAGAUGAUUAAGAUGCCAAGUUAUGGCAACUUAAAAGUAAAUAGCACGAUCUGCUUAGUCACAUAAUAGAGUAAUUAAUUUAGAAGCUUCACACAGAACGAUAAUUUGCCUUACACCAGAGAAUUUAGUAAGGCAGAGUAGGGUGAAGCUUGGUGAUUUUAUUUAUAUUUUCUUUUCUUUUCUUUUUGUAUAGAAUUGGUAUAUCAGAUGGUUGGAGAUGUUGUUGAUAUAGGGAUGCAUUCUGUUGGACCAUAUGAUCCAGAGAUAGUGUUGGACAUUUAUAUAAAUUAUGCCAAACUUUUUCAAAAUUUAUAUGAGGAAAUGAGUCAUGGGAUGGUUUACGAACACCAACAUGGUGGAUUUCGGUUUUAUCUUAAUUUAGUUGAGAGCUAUAUACGGAGCCAACAUUUAUACGUAAGGAAUAAAGAAUCGUGGACAACCUUGACGGAUCGAACGAUUAUUUUUGAUAUUUUGAGAGAAGGAUCCAUUUACUUGAACUUUACUUUUCAAAUUUUUAAACAGUAUUGUAACCCAAUUUACAAUGUCAUUUGGAAAAUUCAUAUGUUUUAGUAGGGUUUUUAUAUAAUUGUGUUCAAUACGGUCAAAGGCUUUUUUCCUAAUCAAACGAUAAGAUAUAGGCAUUAGUUUCAUGUGUGUCUAAAUAAUUUAGGAUUGAAUCAAUUAAAUACAGGUUAUCGAAGGUGCUUUUAUUUGGUCCGGCUCCCGUUUGUGUUUUAGAGAUCAAUUUGUUAAUAACUGUGUUCAUUCAUAUACUUAAUAUUUUUGUGAUGAUUUUAUAGUCGACACAUAACAGGCUUAUUGGUCUAUAGUUCUUAAAUAAUCGGUGGUCGCCUCUAUUCUUAUAGACAAACAAUUUAUUCUUAUAAUUAAUUAUUAUUAGUUUAAACAAUAUUUUAUUCAAUAAACUGAAUUGGAUUGAACAACAGGCAAGGCCUAUAUAAGUUCUCUCCAAACAUAUAAAAUAGUUAACUCUUAUGUUUACAAUACAGUGGUGACAUAUGUACAGACAGUGAGUAACAAACAUAUAUACAUUUUGAAGUGUAAUUUUAAGUUUUAAAUGUUAAAGUUUUAAAAUCUCUUGCUGUCUUUUAUGUAUUUUUGCACUAUUUCAAAUAUGUUGGAAUUGGUAUUAUCUGAAAGAUUAUUAUUAUACCGGUUCUCAUUGGGUUAGAUAAUUCACCCUGUAGAUAGAUGUUGUUUAUUACUUCUGUCAGGUCGGUUCCUAUUGUGUCAAAGAAUUUGAUAUAGAAAUCUCCUGGAAUACCGUCGAUGCCUGGGCUACGGUUUGAUCUGAAACUUUGUAACGCCUUCAGAUCUUCAUCUUUAGAUAUGAAAUGAGACAGGGAAUCUCUUUCCGUGUUAGUUAGGGUAUUUAUGUUACUGUUUUCAAUAUAGGAGUUUAUUAGGUUUUCGACAAUGUUUUGGGUAGUAUAUAGUUGUUGGUAAUAUUGGUGAAUUGUGUCUAGAAUAUCUUGUUCAUUAUCAAAUACUGUAUUAUUUUGAUUGAUUAAUUGUUUAAUUUGCUUUUUAGCACUGUUUUUGACCUCAGCUAAUUUAUAUAUUUAUAUAUUGUAUUGUAUUUUGUUCUAUUAUUUCGAUUUUUGUUUGAAUUUCAUGCAUUGAGUUAGUAUUCAUAGGUAGUAUGGAAGUAGAUCAACUUAUAGUGUGAUAUAUAUUGAGACUAUAUUUAUGUUAUAUAUAUGAAUGCAUAUCUAGCACUAUGCAUAUCUAGCGGUGUAUUAUGAAUGUAUGUUAUAUUAAAG